GAGAGAUCUCAGUUAGCAAUUACUGAUCCUCCUGUUAAUGGUGAAACUUCAGUAAAAGAUGCAGAUCUUAGGGCUGAGCCUCUGGUUGAUCAACAGAACCACCAGCAGCAGAGUAAAGCUGAUACAUCACUCAUGAAAAUACAGGACCAACUUGAUGAGGCUCAAGGACUGCUUAAGACUGCAAUUUCCACUGGCCAGUCAAAAGAGGCAAGGUUAGCACGGGUUUGUGCUGGACUUUCAACCCGCCUUCAAGAAUACAAAUCUGAAAAUGCUCAGCUGGAGGAACUUCUCAUUGCAGAGAGAGAGCUGAGCAAAUCAUAUGAGGCUCAUAUAAAGCAGCUACAACAGAUUUGUCUAUAUCUAAAAGUGAAUUGACAAGAGUAGAGUCAAAUAUGGCUGAUGCUUUGGCUGCAAAAAAUUCAGAAAUUGAGGCCCUUGUCAAUUCUAUGGAUGCA
rnacentral:misc_RNA from 1 species